AACUGUAGAACCAACUUUUCCAGCACUACCGCCUAAGAUAGAUUCCCCUUACCGUAUCGUAGGUACUUAGAAAACGUCCUUACACGUCAUUUCUAUGGCUAAAAGAUAUCAAAAGCGCUAGUCUAGAGAACAGUUUGUUGCAUGUGGGCUUGUAUUUACAAAGGGAAUGUGAUAGGUCUUGUAACGGGUGCACGUGGUGUUUUCCGUUUUUUGCAUAUUGUAUAUAUUGCGGUGUUAGGGGGGUAACUUGACGUUCUUCUUUAACAGAUCCGUAAGAGGGGAAAUUAGUGAAGAAAAGUUUAGUGUGGAACGUCUGUACCAAGAACUCAUGCCGGUGAUUCUUCUGACUUCAGGAACUAUCGUCGGAAUGGGAAUCUGAGUAUGCUUCAACUUUACCUAGGUCUACCAGAAGAUGGUGUUCAAAAAUUGGAGUGCAAAUUGUGAUGUCAUCCAAGUAGCUGAAUACAUGGGGGGAAUUGUGAAGUCCGAAGGGCAUCUACGGAACUGGAAAAAACUUCUGUUGGGUACUGUGAACGCGGUAUAUGGCUUCAGUGAGUCUACCAUUGCUUGUCGAGAGUGGCGUUGACGUAUGGGAGAGGAUAUGCAUCUGGUUCGCGGACUUGUAUUUAAUCGCCGGAGGUCUACACAGAAGCCAUCCCAAGCUCGGAUUGUUUAUUAUGAAUUGCGCCCAACGUGGGGUUCAUAUUUUAAAAAACAUCGCCGAUCACUAGAUCAAAAUCAAAGAUGAACUCCGAGGAAAUCGCGGAUAGUCGAACUAUUCGGAUCACCGAGGCUAUUCUCAAAGAGCUCCUGAAAUCGAUCCAGCAGACGAAGCCCACCCCGGAGGAUCAUUCACGAAAUGCACCACCCGCUUCUAUGGAUCCGCAGGCGCCCAGGCAUUCAUCGACAAUCACCCCUGAGAUGUAUCAGAAACGUCAACGUGCAGGUAUCUGUCAAAAAACGUUACUUUACGUUAUUUCGUAUGGGAAAAUAACGUUUUGUGUAGAUAAUUACCUACACGUUAAAUUUAACGUUACUGACAGAAUACAGGGCUGAAUUUCUUGACAUAUAUAAGAACUGCGUCAUUACGUCCGACGAGAACACCCCACGCGGAAUCACCUUGCUGCUGCAGGAUGCAGGACGAUGUCGCCAUAUGGUGGCAGGGAACCUCUUCCAAACACAAGGCGAAGCUGACAAGA